rnacentral:rRNA from 1 species
UAGGGAAUCUUCCACAAUGGGCGCAAGCCUGAUGGAGCAACACCGCGUGAGUGAAGAAGGGUUUCGGCUCGUAAAGCUCUGUUGUUAAAGAAGAACACGUAUGAGAGUAACUGUUCAUACGUUGACGGUAUUUAACCAGAAAGUCACGGCUAACUACGUGCCAGCAGCCGCGGUAAUACGUAGGUGGCAAGCGUUAUCCGGAUUUAUUGGGCGUAAAGAGAGUGCGGGCGGUUUUCUAAGUCUGAUGUGAAAGCCUUCGGCUUAACCGGAGAAGUGCAUCGGAAACUGGAUAACUUGAGUGCAGAAGAGGGUAGUGGAACUCCAUGUGUAGCGGCGGAAUGCGUAGAUAUAUGGAAGAACACCAGUGGCGAAGGCGGCUACCUGGUCUGCAACUGACGCUGAGACUCGGAAGCAUGGGUAGCGAACAGGAUUAGAUACCCUGGUAGUCCAUGCCGUAAACGAUGAGUGCUAGGUGUUGGAGGGUUUCCGCCCUUCAGUGCCGGAGCUAACGCAUUAAGCACUCCGCCUGGGGAGUACGACCGCAAGGUUG